UACGAAGGGGGCUAGCGUUGUUCGGAAUCACUGGGCGUAAAGCGCACGUAGGCGGAUCGUUAAGUCGGGGGUGAAAUCCCAGGGCUCAACCCUGGAACUGCCUUCGAUACUGGCGAUCUUCGAGUCCGGGAGAGGUGAGUGGAACUCCGAGUGUAGAGGUGAAAUUCGUAGAUAUUCGCAGGAACACCAGUGGCGAAGGCGGCUAACUGGUCCAUAACUGACGCUGAGGUGCGAAAGCGUGGGGAGCAAACAGG
rnacentral:rRNA from 1 species